rnacentral:misc_RNA from 1 species
UUUGUGUCCUGUUACACUAGGUGGUGGCACCACUUCUGAUCCUGCCAAAGCAAUUGCAGCUGCUGCAGCUGCUAAUAAUAUGAAAGGUGGUGUGUUGCCUUCGCAGGGCAUUCUUCAUGCUGCCCAAUAUACAACACAAACAUCAGGAAGUCAACAUCAGCUUUUGCCUGCUGGUUUCUCUUAUGUGCACCCUGUUCCUACUGCAGUUCAAGUAAAGCCAGCUGAACAGAAACAACCUGCGGGAAAUGACAAUUUGCAUGCGUGCUGGCAGCCUGAGAAGAAAUGAACACUGUACAACUUGAUGGAGCACAGCCAAGCAGAGGCACAUCAGUGAACCUCAGAAGUUGGAAUGAAGAACUCGCAGUUUUGAAGGAGGCACCAUAUGGGUUUUUUGACGACUGAUCCUCGGAGAGAUUUUGCACGAAACGCAAGUCAAUCAACAUGUCGAUUGACAUCGUAUAACGCAUUCUCGUGGUGUAUAAUCUGACUGCCUAAUAGGGAUAUCACAAAUGAAAGUGCUGCUGCUCGACUGGUUGGUUUUUUGAUGAUCACAGGAUGGUUUGCUGGAAUAUUGAUCAGCCAGCUCUUUCCUGCAUUUUGAUGGUGGUGGUUAGGUUCAGGAAAGAAAAAGGUUUUUGGUUCCUUUUUCCUCCCCCCUUUUUUGGGGGGUUAGGGGGGGAAAGCAGGUCAGUGAUAAAAACUAAGAAAAUAGUGAAAAGGUUGUAUUGCCUUCCAAGUUUUUCAGUAGGAACUCUCUGAUGCUUCAGUAAUUCAUUAUUCUUUUCCUUCUCUUAAAAGGUGUUUCUACUGGCUUGAAUUAUUAUACAGCAGUUUCUGGACAGUAGUAUCUUUUUUUGGACAUAUUAUAAGUAUAUGCAAGGUGUAUAUGUGUAUAUCUUGGCACAUAUAUAAAUGGAAUAGCC